rnacentral:rRNA from 1 species
GACGGGUAUCCGGCCUGAGAGGGUGAACGGACACACUGGAACUGAGACACGGUCCAGACUCCUACGGGAGGCAGCAGUAGGGAAUAUUGCUCAAUGGGGGAAACCCUGAAGCAGCAACGCCGCGUGGAGGAUGAAGGUUUUAGGAUUGUAAACUCCUUUUGUUAGAGAAGAUUAUGACGGUAUCUAACGAAUAAGCACCGGCUAACUCCGUGCCAGCAGCCACGGUAAUACGGAGGGUGCAAGCGUUACUCGGAAUCACUGGGCGUAAAGAGUGCGCAGGCGGGAUAGCAAGUCAGAUGUGAAAUGCUAUGGCUUAACCAUAGAACUGCAUUUGAAACUGUUAUUCUA